CAACUCGCCUACAUGAAGUUGGAAUCGCUAGUAAUCGCGAAUCAGAAUGUCGCGGUGAAUACGUUCCCGGGUCUUGUACACACCGCCCGUCACACCACGAGAGUUUACAACACCCGAAGUCAGUGGCCUAACCGCAAGGAGGGAGCUGCCUAAGGUGGGGUANAUGAUUGGGGUGAAGUCGUAACAAGGUACC
rnacentral:rRNA from 1 species